rnacentral:misc_RNA from 1 species
GCGCUAAAUUACAAAUUAACGUUAAAGUAUUAAACUGAAGUGGAAACUCAGAGGAAUUAUUUUUAUUAAUCCACAGAAAGAUAAAAAGGAAUAUGUUUAUUGUGGGCCAAUAUGUCCUCUUCUUUCAUUGAUUUUUAAACCUAAGAUCCAUCUCAAUCACCUUUACACAGCAGCUGAAGGCUCAGAAAGUGAAACAAUACUUGGGAAUUGCAAAACCUGAUCCGCCGUGACAACAGGGAACCCGCUCCCACCCCGAACCCAGUGGGGAAUCCCCACCCCU